rnacentral:rRNA from 1 species
UACGUAGGUGGCAAGCGUUGUCCGGAAUUAUUGGGCGUAAAGCGCGCGCAGGCGGUCCUUUAAGUCUGAUGUGAAAGCCCACGGCUCAACCGUGGAGGGUCAUUGGAAACUGGGGGACUUGAGUGCAGAAGAGGAAAGUGGAAUUCCAAGUGUAGCGGUGAAAUGCGUAGAUAUCUGGAGGAAUACCGGUGGCGAAGGCGGCAUCCUGGACCGAGAUUGACGCUGAUGAGCGAAAGCUAGGGGAGCAAACGGG